UACGUAGGGUGCGAGCGUUAAUCGGAAUUACUGGGCGUAAAGCGUGCGCAGGCGGUUCGUUAAGUUCGUUGUGAAAGCCCCGGGCUCAACCUGGGAACGGCAAUGGAAACUGGCGGGCUAGAGUGCGGCAGAGGGGGGUGGAAUUCCACGUGUAGCAGUGAAAUGCGUAGAGAUGUGGAGGAACACCGAUGGCGAAGGCAACCCCCUGGGCUGACACUGACGCUCAGGCACGAAAGCGUGGGGAGCAAACAGG
rnacentral:rRNA from 1 species